GAUCAUGGCUCAGGAUGAACGCUAGCUACAGGCUUAACACAUGAAAGUCGAGGGGCAGCAUGGUCUUAGCUUGCUAAGGCUGAUGGCGACCGGCGCACGGGUGAGUAACACGUAUCCAACCUGCCGUCUACUCUUGGCCAGCCUUCUGAAAGGAAGAUUAAUCCAGGAUGGGAUCAUGAGUUCACAUGUCCACAUGAUUAAAGGUAUUUUCCGGUAGACGAUGGGGA
rnacentral:rRNA from 1 species